UAAAACGAAUAGUAAUUUAGCACGGAAGGUUAAUUACAUCACUGGAAUCUAUCAGCAUUAACAAUGCUGAUAGAUGCUGAUGAAGAUCAGCAUUAACAAUGCUGAUAGAUGCUGAUGAGAAAACAGACGGAGAGAUGGACAAGAUCAAGGCAAGGUGCAUCUAGCAGACUAGCACAUCACAUCAGUGCGUCUUAAAAUUAAAGCAGAUGGAUUUGCGUGUUCACACACUGGUCGUCACCACUGUUAAUUAAGCUCUGCUAGUAGGAGGUACUCCUACUGCGCUGCUAGGUGCUCGAGGAUACAUUAUGGUGAUCAAAGUAGCUGCUGGCUUUGCUGCUGCUAGUAGCUUUACUAUUUCUCUCAUCGAUAGAUAGAAAGAUAGAUGGUGCCUCUGCAUUUAUAGCCUACCUAUAGCUGAUUAGAGAGAGCUACCUGCUGAUCGAUCGAUGCAUCCCCAUCCAUCGGUAAGCAAGAUUAAUGGCGAUGUUAAGGUGCGGCCCACCGCAUGCAGAGACAUGAUUAAUUAUAUAUCAUUUCUCCAUCAUGUUACAUUUUAUACUUAUAAUUUACAAAACAUAGAACAAGUAGUACACUUUUAUGGUUUUCAUUUUCUGUGUCGAGAAUGGUCGAUUAAUGGUUUUGUAUACAGUUAUCCCUUGAGAUUACAUUAUUGGACCACCCACUAAUAUAAUUUGAUUUAAUGAAUCGACAGUGAUAUGAUCCAAGCAAGUGUAUCGUUUAAUUGAGGCGUGUAAACGACGCAACGACGGAGCUACCGGCCAUUUAUCACAAGGAAGCAGACUGCUCAACAGAUUAUAUUAUUGGAUUGGAUCCAUAAUCCAUGUCAAGUUACAGCUCCAUACCGCUGACAUGGAAAGAGGAGUAGUAUUCCGUGUUGAUUGAUACCCUCAUGUAUACAAACCCUCAUGCAUUUAUAUUACGUUGUUGGGAUAGCAAAAUUUACAAAUGGAAUGUUCAUCCGUUGGAUUUACUAUCUUGCUCCCAUCCUAAAUAUAACUGUGCUAUCUAAAAUUGUUACUAAUGCAAAAAUCUUUCUAACCUAGCUAGUAACCGUCAUAAAGAUAAUUAUUGGCAAUAAAAUAUUGGUGUUUCUAGAUUUGUUACCAAACUACUUUCGUAAUAUUUGCAUAUGGAUAUUGCUUUUAAUUAGAAACAUUGUAACGAAGGUCAUUAUUGUGUCGUUGUUUAAUAAAUGGGCUUGGGAUUACAAGGUUUAUUAAAGAAAACGAGCAUGGCCACAUAUUCAUGAUGAUUAUACAUCACAUAAAAAAUUGGUUGCAGGACCUCUAUUAGAAAAUAUCUAGUAUCCAUGCUCUAUUUCCACCUAAAAUGAAUGUGUUCACAUCUGAGGCCACCUCUAAUAGGGCUGCUCUAGUUGUAUGCUUCCGGUACCCGCAACAAUGCACGCGUGUUUGACUAGCUAAUUUCAUGAUUAAUGGUGGAAAGUUUUAUUUGAUGGCUGACCUGCUCUGAUCAUCGUCAUAUGCUAUAGGACUAUGAGAAUGCCUUUGCAUCAUCUGAUAUGUACUCUCUCCGUCUCAAAUUGUAUGUCGUUUGACCAUUUUUAGAUUUAUAUAGUUUUUACUAUAUAUCUAGACAUGGUGUAUAUCUAGAUGAAUAGCAAAAGUUAGCUUGAUCGUAGAUAUGUACAUUAAUUGUUUUUUUGAAGUUAAUUUUUUUUGAAAUAGUUUUUUGAAGUUAAUUAAGGAGUUGAAGCGUAGUAGAUGUGUAGGAGUGCAGUGGCACUUCUCACUAGUAUUAAUUCUACAAUAAUUUAUCAUAUGCGCACCCAAGCAUCUUUAUCGAUUUAUUUAUAUAUAUAUAUAUAUAUAUAUAUAUAUAUAUAUAUAUAGUUAUAUAGUUGCAUACUAAAUAGUACUCCCUCCGUCAUAUAUGCAUGUGCAUGCUUGUGGUGUCCGCGUGCGUGCGUCAUCUAUGCAAUUGCAAUCGUCAAGCAUGCAUCUUUUUUCUUUCUUUC
rnacentral:lncRNA from 1 species